GCUCUCAAACCGCUAGGAAACGACACGUGGUACUCACGGAGACGACACCAUCAGCGUAGAUUAGAUUUUUGGAGUUAAGAGAAGCCAUUAAAAUUCAGAAUACGAACUGAGGAGUUCCCAGGGGAGAAAAAGAAACGAAAAGAAAACAAGAAGAUGAGAGAGGGAAUUAUUUGAAACUUCCUCUCCUUUCCUAUUUUUUUUCGCUUCUUUUCAUUUCCCCGAAGUAGUCUUUCUCCCACCCUCACUCUCCUCUCAGACGAGAAGAAGGAAUUUCAAUUUUCAGUUGGUAGAAGAAUUCAUUUCAUUAAUAAAAUUUCAACUCGGGGGUCGUAAAAGCGGGCUGUUGAAGCUGCAAAAGGAUGUCAGGUCGUGUGAAUACCGGGAUGUGCAAGUAAUGUGGGAGAUGCUGAGAAGAACCGAGCUUGAAAUGGGAGAAUCCCCAAAAGAUGCAAAAAGCGACCAUUGAAAAAAUGGUUUUAAUUUUCAAUGGACUAGGAGAUCUCCUUUUCCUCGCCGCGGCUUCUGACCACGGGCUUUUUCAUUCCGGAUUAUGAAGAUGCAACAAGAGAUUAUGAAGCUAGCUUGGACUACUUUUACUUACAUUAUUUGGGAGGAGAGAAACAAGAGAAUUUACCAAGGACGCUCAAGAAAUGUUAAUGCCUUACUCCUUGCUAUUAAAGACUCUGUUGCUAUUCAACUUAAGGGUAGAGAAAUAAAUAGAAAUGACUAUGUCAGUAAUACUCUUUGUAAUCAAUAGGGUAUUGAACAUUGAUGUUUCUGUUCUGUUGUAUAGUGUUGUAAGUAUUGAUAUUUUUAUGUAAGAACUUUUUAUAUUUUGAAGCAGUUUACUGCUUUUGGAUAUAAAACUGAUUGAUUUAUCCAAAAAAAAAAAGAUUAU